GGAAUUGUUCGCAAUGGGCGCAAGCCUGACGACGCAACGCCGCGUGGAGGAUGAAGGUCUUCGGAUUGUAAACUACUGUUGCCUGGGACGAAUUGUUCGGGCCUAACACGUCUGAAUUUGACGGUACCAGGUGAGGAAGCCCCGGCUAACUCUGUGCCAGCAGCCGCGGUAAUCCCGAGGGGGCAAGCGUUGUUCGGAACUACUGAGCGUAAAAGGCGCGUAGGCGGCCCUCUAAGUCGAACGUGAAAUCCCUGGGCUCAACCCAGGAACUGCGUCCGAGACUGGGGGGCUGGAAUCCGGGAGAGGGAUGUGGAAUUCCAGGUGUAGCGGUGAAAUGCGUAGAUAUCUGGAGGAACAUCGGUGGCGAAGGCGGCAUCCUGGACCGGUAUUGACGCUGAGGCGCGAAAGCCAGGGGAGCAAAC
rnacentral:rRNA from 1 species